rnacentral:lncRNA from 1 species
ACUUAUCCUUAGGUAUUUCAUAUUUUUUGAUAUUUUUGUGAAUGCUUGCUUUUUAAAAUUUCGUUUUUGACUGAUCAUUGCUAGUAUAUAGAAAUAAAAUUGAUAUUUGUGUAUUGAUCUUGUAACCUGCAACCUUUCUAAAUUCACUUAGUUCUAGCAGUGUUUUUUUUUUCCUUUUGUAGAUCUCAUCAGAUUUUCUUCAUAGACAAUCAUAUUGUCUGAGAAUAUAAGAUUUUAACUUCUUUUUUCCUCCAAUCUGGAGACUUUUUAUUUGUUUAUCUUUCCUGAUUGCACUGACUGGAACCGCCGAUACAACGUUGAAUGGAAGUGGUCAGAGCAGACAUUUUUGUAUUGUUCCUGAUCUUAUGGAGGAGCACUUUCUGUCUUUCACCUUUAAGUAUGAUGUUAGCUGUAAAUGUUCCGCAGAAGCCCUUUAUCAGGAGCCCAUGCCUGAAAGCUCUGGGGUGAUUAGAUGCCAAUAGCACCAACAGUUUUUCUUCUGUGGCACUAAGGACAAGAUAGAACAGUUGGCGUUCAUAACAGAUCUUCAAGAAGGAAUGGAAGAACACUUGAAAUGGAAGACAAAUUUACAAUUCAAGAAGCCCAGUGAAGGACCAUCCCCAAUGGCUUAGUGGCAUGCUCCACUUUGGUGGCCUGAGUUCGGUUCCUGGGCAUGGAACCACACCACUCAUCUGCCAGUGUCCAUGCUGUGGCGGUGGCUCACAUAAAAAAAAAGGAGGAGAGGGGAGUGAUGUCAGCAACAUGGCAGAGUGAGUGGUUCCCUUUCUCUCCCCCUUUGAACUAUAACUAAUUGGACAUUCAUUGAUCAAUGGAGGAUACUCACACAGUACCUCAGGAUGCCUGAAAGACCCACACAGCUAUCCAUCGGAAGGUGGAUAGACUACCCACUGGGGAGGAG